rnacentral:rRNA from 1 species
CUGAUGGCGAGUGGCGAACGGGUGAGUAAUGCAUCGGAACGUGCCCAAUCGUGGGGGAUAACGCAGCGAAAGCUGUGCUAAUACCGCAUACGAUCUACGGAUGAAAGCGGGGGACCUUCGGGCCUCGCGCGAUUGGAGCGGCCGAUAUCAGAUUAGGUAGUUGGUAGGGUAAAGGCCUACCAAGCCAACGAUCUGUAGCUGGUCUGAGAGGACGACCAGCCACACUGGAACUGAGACACGGUCCAGACUCC